GUGGGGAAUAUUGGACAAUGGGGGGAACCCUGAUCCAGCCAUGCCGCGUGUGUGAAGAAGGCCUUUUGGUUGUAAAGCACUUUAAGUGGGGAGGAGGCUUACCUAGUUAAUACCUGGGCUAAGUGGACGUUACCCACAGAAUAAGCACCGGCUAACUCUGUGCCAGCAGCCGCGGUAAUACAGAGGGUGCGAGCGUUAAUCGGAUUUACUGGGCGUAAAGCGCGCGUAGGUGGUUAAUUAAGUCAAAUGUGAAAUCCCCGAGCUUAACUUGGGAAUUGCAUUCGAUACUGGUUGGCUAGAGUAUGGGAGAGGAUGGUAGAAUUCCAGGUGUAGCGGUGAAAUGCGUAGAGAUCUGGAGGAAUACCGAUGGCGAAGGCAGCCAUCUGGCCUAAUACUGACACUGAGGUGCGAAAGCAUGGGGAGCAAACAGGAUUAGAUACCCUUGUAGUCC
rnacentral:rRNA from 1 species